UGACGCACUUCUUCCGAUGCACCGGGAAGAAGAGCCUGAAGUCCUCCGGCAAUUCAUCUUCCGAGUAAAGCCUGGGAAACAUUUGCGAGGAGAUGACCCGCAACUGUACAGGAUGGACAAAAAUCCGCUCUGAAAUGUAUUCCGAAACAUCUCGUAAAGAUUCUCGAGAGCUUUCAGCGUUACAACUCGUUCUCCGCGGUUUGAAUGUGAAUGCUGGAAAAAUUGUCUUCAACUGAAACGUCAAGCGGUUAUUGUGCAUUUGACAUGUAGUGAAUUCUUUUGUUCCUGCAUUUGUCCAACAUAGGAAUAAAAGCAUUGCAACAGAUAAAGGAAUGAAUACUGCCGUAGCUUCAGACUCAGAAGAAACAAGAAUUGAGGGAAGAGAACGCGUAAAAACCACGAG